CCUACGGGUGGCAGCAGUGAGGAAUAUUGGUCAAUGGGCGAGAGCCUGAACCAGCCAAGUCGCGUGAGGGAGUACUGCCCUAUGGGUUGUAAACCUCUUUUGUCGGGGAGCAAAAGCCGGACGUGUCCGGCUGUGAGAGUACCCGAAGAAAAAGCAUCUGCUAACUCCGUGCCAGCAGCCGCGGUAAUACGGAGGAUCCGAGCGUUAUCCGGAUUCAUUGGGUUUAAAGGGUGCGUAGGUUGUUUUAUAAGUUAGCGGUGAAAUACCGAUGCUCAACAUCGGGGCUGCCGCUGAUACUGUAGGACUAGAGAUCGGAUGCAGCAGGCGGAAUUCCUAGUGUAGCGGUGAAAUGCGUAGAUAUUAGGAGGAACACCGGCGGCGAAGGCGGCCUGCUGGACCGUAACUGACGUUGAGGCUCGAAAGCGUGGGGAGCAAACAGGAUUAGAUACCCCUGUAGUC
rnacentral:rRNA from 1 species